rnacentral:rRNA from 1 species
UACGGGGGGGGCAAGCGUUGUUCGGAAUUACUGGGCGUAAAGGCUUGUAGGCGGCCAACUAAGUCCGACGUGAAAUCCCCAGGCUUAACCUGGGAACUGCGUCGGAUACUGGAUGGCUUGAAUUCGGGAGAGGGAUGCAGAAUUCCAGGUGUAGCGGUGAAAUGCGUAGAUAUCUGGAGGAAUACCGGUGGCGAAGGCGGCAUCCUGGACCGACAUUGACGCUGAGGAGCGAAAGCGUGGGUAGCAAACAGGA